ACGAACGCUGGCGGCGUGCUUAACACAUGCAAGUCGAACGGAAAGGCUCCUUUGGGGGUACUCGAGUGGCGAACGGGUGAGUAACACGUGAGUAACCUGCCCUUGACUUCGGGAUAACUUCAGGAAACUGGGGCUAAUACCGGAUAGGAAUCCUUGCUGCAUGGUGGGGUUGGAAAGCUUCGGCGGUUUUGGAUGGACUCGCGGCUUAUCAGCUUGUUGGUGGGGUAGUGGCUUACCAAGGCUUUGACGGGUAGCCGGCCUGGGAGGGCGACCGGCCACAUUGGGACUGAGAUACGGCCCAGACUCCUACGGGAGGCAGCAGUGGGGAAUAUUGCACAAUGGGCGGAAGCCUGAUGCAGCAACGCCGCGUGCGGGAUGACGGCCUUCGGGUUGUAAACCGCUUUCAGCAGGGGCGAAGCUUGUGGUGACGGUACCUGCAGAAGAAGCACCGGCUAACUACGUG
rnacentral:rRNA from 1 species